rnacentral:tRNA from 1 species
GGGAUUGUAGUUAAAAAUAACAUUUGGGUUGCAUUCAAAAAGUACUACAUAUGUAGUUAGUCUCG